GGGGGGCGAGAUUUGGGCCGAAUACCACACACCAUUUGAACANCCAGCCCAAACGGGCCGCCAAAACUAGGUACCCCGGNCUUAAGUAAAAGUUAGUACCGGCAAAGACACCUAAGCGCGGCAAACACUGACAGUCAACAAAAGGGGCUCGGCCCGAGUAAAGCGCGACGGUGAGUAAUACUAGGUAACCGCCCUUCAGUUGGGGACACGGUCCAAAGGACCGCUAAUACCGAAUUCGUUACUCCGGGGCCCUGGCCCUGGAGAGGAAAGACUGCCCGCCAAGGGUGGCGCUGGAGGAGGGGCCUGCGUCCAUCAUCUAUUUUGGUGGGGUAAUGGCCUACCCCAAGGCCAAGACCCCNUANCUGGUCUGANAGGAUCGAUCCANCCCACCCUGGGACUGANACNCGGCCCANACUCCUACGGAGGCANCACUGGGGAAUAUNGGACCAUGGGGGCCACCCUGAUCCNCCACCCCGCUNAUNAUAANGCCUUCGGUUNUANCCCUGUUGGGGANGGACNAACUUCNGCC
rnacentral:rRNA from 1 species